UACGAGUGGUGCAAACGUUAUUCGGAAUCACUGGGCUUAAAGGGUGCGUAGGCGGCCAUGAAGGUCUGAUGUGAAAUACCACGGCUCAACCGUGGAAUGGCAUUGGAAACCACAUGGCUGGAGUGAGACAGAGGUGAGCGGAACAGAUGGUGGAGCGGUGAAAUGCGUUGAUAUCAUCUGGAACACCGGUGGCGAAAGCGGCUCACUGGGUCUUUACUGACGCUGAGGCACGAAAGCUAGGGGAGCAAACGGG
rnacentral:rRNA from 1 species